AAAAAUAAUAUUUUUUAUUAAUAUGAAAAUAAUUUAAAUGGGUGAAAAUAAUUAAUGUUAUUAAGUAAGACACAUUUACAUUAAUACAUCUUAGCAUAUAUAGAUGUCGAUGGUAGCAAUUAACUAAAGUUAACUUGAUGAUAACAAAAGGCUUAUCUCUGAGUAUCUUUCAUCAUACAUUUGCUAAUUUAAACAGACUAUUAGAAUUCUUCAAGGAAAAAAAGCAGAAAAUUAUGACAAAAACAAAACAACAAAAACAACAGAAGAAAAAACGCAAAGAAAGAAGCAGUAAAAAUGACAAAAAAAUCCUUUAAGCCUUUGCACCACAAUAUAAGGAUUAAAGAUCCUUGUAUACGGACGUUAUAAUGGCUUUUCAACAUUCAUACACCAACACACACACACACAUCUAUAUAUAAAUAAUGUAUAUUAUAAAAUUUUGUAAAUUAUUCUAAAUUUGAAGAUUUCAUUCCUGCCUACAUUCAGACUAUAUGUAUAUGUAUAAGGAAGGAGGAAAAAGAAUAAGAUUUUGUUGUUGCUGUUGUAAUUUUUUUUCUUCACUCCGAUUUUUCUUUUUUACUUUUUCGGUAAGUACUUGAAAUUUAAAAUUCGCAUGAAUAUUUCAAUUUUUCGUUUUUAUUAUUUCAUUGUUAUUAUUUUUCUUUUAUAUUAUUAUUAUUUUGUUUUUUCUGUUUUUUUAUCUCACUUUUACCUCAAAAUGACAUUU